GGGGUGUGUGGACAAAGAAAUACCCGAACAAAACAUGUUUCUAGCUGACAUCUUCCCUGGGCAUUUUGCAUCCUAGCAGAGCAAAUGGGUCUGGACGGAUCCUGAAAACAGCUGCAGCUGAUGGAGGGAUCCAGCCUGAGCUCAUCUCCCAGAGCCACGCGAGGAGCCCUGAGGGAGCUGGGGAAGGUGGCAGCCAACAUGACUCCAAUCUCAGGAGAACUCCGUGGUACCUCUUCAGAGACACAGCAUUCACAUGGGAAGUUGCAGUGGCACGGGAAUCUGUUUUGUCAGUGAACACACUCGUGAUGAGGAGUUUGCAGAGCAAAACACAGAACGUUUGGUGUCUCCUGUUCAUCUUGAUUCAUGAAUACCUUCCGAUGCCACAUUUCCAGCUACUAGAAUAAUUGGAUCUGCUGGAGGCAAGUUCCUAGAAUGUGGGAUGCAUAAUGGAUUCUGUCUGGGCUCUGCCACUGAGUCACCAUGUGCCUUUGAAUCAAGCAAUUCACCGCAGCCUGGAGCUUUCCUGAUGGCAGGUUGAGCCACAGCGGUUGCAGGAAGGGCUGUGGUCACCGCGUGGAAGGGCCUAGGAAGGUGGGUCACCAGGCAGCAAAGUGGGGAGACACCCAAAAAUCCCUGCAGGAACCAUCUUGGGCACCACAGGGCUGAUGUAGAGUUGGUGGAAAUAAAUUCUUGUGGACAGGAGGCUUCAGAGAAGCACUAGACAUCAUGGCAUCAUGUUCUCCAGCAGGUCCUGGAGGACCUCAUCACCUGGGUUUUCCCAUUAGGGGGAAAACCUCAGUGCUCUUGCUUCAGAUGAAAAGAAAAUGGUGUCUUGGUGUCACUCCUGCCCCUGGGCCAGCAUGAUCACUGUCC